AUGAAGGUUAUGACAAGCACUAUAACCUGGAAUGAACUAUUCAUGUUCGAGAAAAUGAAAAGGCAAGACACAGAUAUUCAAUUAAUCGGUCAAUUUUCAGUUAAUUGGCCAUGGGACGGUCUCUUCUUUUGUUGGUGUUGUCACUUCAGGCAAUUAAUCAGCCAUUGGUGUGUUGGUAUUGUCACUUCAGGCAAAUGUGUACCAAUAAUAUGCAACAUUGUUAAGAAAAUCUGUGAAAGUGUAGUGUGA
rnacentral:rRNA from 1 species